rnacentral:rRNA from 1 species
UAGAUGGGAGCUUGCUCCCUGAUAUUAGCGGCGGACGGGUGAGUAACACGUGGGCAACCUACCUGUAAGACUGGGAUAACUUCGGGAAACCGGAGCUAAUACCGGAUAAUUUCUUUUCUCGCAUGAGAAGAGAUGGAAAGACGGUUUCGGCUGUCACUUACAGAUGGGCCCGCGGCGCAUUAGCUAGUUGGUGAGGUAAUGGCUCACCAAGGCCACGAUGCGUAGCCGACCUGAGAGGGUGAUCGGCCACACUGGGACUGAGACACGGCCCAGACUCCUACGGGAGGCAGCAGUAGGGAAUCUUCCGCAAUGGACGAAAGUCUGACGGAGCAACGCCGCGUGAGCGAAGAAGGCCUUCGGGUCGUAAAGCUCUGUUGUUAGGGAAGAACAAGUACCAGAGUAACUGCUGGUACCUUGACGGUACCUAACCAGAAAGCCACGGCUAACUACGUGCCAGCAGCCGCGGUAAUACGUAGGUGGCAAGCGUUGUCCGGAAUUAUUGGGCGUAAAGCGCGCGCAGGUGGUUCUUUAAGUCUGAUGUGAAAGCCCACGGCUCAACCGUGGAGGGUCAUUGGAAACUGGGGAACUUGAGUGCAGAAGAGGAAAGUGGAAUUCCACGUGUAGCGGUGAAAUGCGUAGAGAUGUGGAGGAACACCAGUGGCGAAGGCGACUUUCUGGUCUGUAACUGACACUGAGGCGCGAAAGCGUGGGGAGCGAACAGGAUUAGAUACCCUGGUAGUCCACGCCGUAAACGAUGAGUGCUAAGUGUUAGAGGGUUUCCGCCCUUUAGUGCUGCAGCUAACGCAUUAAGCACU